AUCUGGCUCAGGAUGAACGCUAGCGACAGGCUUAACACAUGCAAGUCGAGGGGCAGCGGGGUGUAGCAAUACACCGCCGGCGACCGGCGCACGGGUGAGUAACGCGUAUGCAACUUGCCUAUCAGAGGGGGAUAACCCGGCGAAAGUCGGACUAAUACCGCAUGAAGCAGGGGCCCGCAUGGGGAUAUUUGCUAAAGAUUCAUCGCUGAUAGAUAGGCAUGCGUUCCA
rnacentral:rRNA from 1 species